AGAGAAACCCUGUCUCCAAAAAAAAAAAAACCACACUCUCCAGAAGUAUUUGAAAGCCUCAGGGCUAUCUUCCCAUCUUUGGGUCAGUGUUAGAGCUGAGAGUUCAUUCUGUAGCCUACCUUUUAUCUUUACAAAAUGAGAUUGUGCUAGCUGCCCUGUGAUACUUAAUCCUGGAGCCACUGGGACAUGGUGGGAAGUUGGUCAGAAAUCCGGGCCUCACCCAGGACAUUGUGUGUCACAACUUGAGUGUAACAGGGACCAAGUUCUCUAGAUAUUGCUGGGCACACUGAAGUUGGGGUGUGGAAGAGGGUGAUGCUGUGGGCAGAGGAUAUUGCACACAGGUGUCAAUUGAUAAGCAAACGCACCUGACAUACCCUUUGACCCCCUAUUCGAGAAAUAGUUUUGUCAAGGCUGAAAGAGGGCUUCUACAGAGAGAGUCCAAGUGCAGAGAUGCUGAGUGUUCUGAGGGCCAAUACAUCCUUCAAAUGAGAGCUCCCAAAGUGGCUUUGGCCCUCUGCUUUGAACCCUGGGAAGGGUGGAUGCUACGCUGAGCUCCAGACGUUUGGCCACCACGGAGCCCAGUUAUUAAUAGGAGCAUAGCCUAAGCCGUUCCUCCCAGCCAGUGACUGCCCUGGGCGCUUCCUCUGGCUCCAUCUCAGAACUUAAUAGCUUGCUAUGACAGGUGAGGAGAAUGAGGCACAGAGCGGCUGCCGAGUAAUGUGUCCAAGGUCACAAAGCCAAGAAGUGACAGAGUCAAGCUGCCAGUGGAGGCUGGUGUGACUACUGACAGCAUCGUCUGUACUGAGAGUCUAUGUAUUUUCGUGUGUUGGUGUGUGAGUGUGUGCACGUGUGCAUGGAUGUGUGGGCAGAGGGUGAAAGAGAAAGUCGAUGGUGUCCUUGGCUGCCAUCUACCUUGGUUUUUGAUAUGGGGUCCCUCAUUGGCCUGGGGCUCCUCUUGUAGGUACAGCAACUGACCACCUGCCCUGGGGUCUUGCUCUUUCUGCUUCCUCUGCACUGAAAUUACAAGCAUGGGCUCCAUCCUGGGCUUUUUAAAUAUGUCCUGGGGGUUCCAACUCUGGUCUUUAUCCUUACAAGGUCAACCCUUUACCAAGUGAGCUAUCUUCCUAGCUAAAUAUAUGUGUUUUGAGUGCACAUAAAAAUCAUGUAAACUAACCUCUUGUGAUGUGUGCACAGCAGAUGCAAACAAAACAAACAAAUCCAACCACUCGAGGGCCAGGCAGAUGGCUCAGCACCCGAAGGCAUUCACCACAAAGCCAGCCUAUCUGAGUUUGAUCCUUGGUGUCCACAUAGUUGAAAGAAGAGCUGACUUCCUCAAGUUGUCCUUUGACCUCCACACAAACUCGUGGACAAAAAAAACCUGACAGAAACACAGCAUCGGAUUGGGACAGUGGCCUUCAGCUAACAGUUCCUAGAAGAAGCCAUUCAUUCUUCUCUGGGCCUGGCCCUUUGACUCUGUCACUCAUUGCGUUUCUGUCAACAUGCAGGGGUCAGUGUCUACUUGGUGCACAAACUCAUGCAAGACACAGACCCAGAUCCAGAUGUAGAGCUUGUGGUUCCUUGUCCAGCAUCACUCCUGCCUGCGCACUGCCAAGCUUCCCUCCAUGACAGCAAUGCACUAAACCUCUAAACCUGUGA